rnacentral:rRNA from 1 species
CGUAAGAGUUUAGUAUACCUCGGCGUCAGGAUAAAACGACUGCGGCGCACAUAAGACAUGCAAGUCAACGGACUUAAUCUUAAUAUUUAUAUUGAGAAGCGGUUAGUGGCGGACUGGUGAGUAAACGCGUAAGCAAUCUGCCUAUUAGUAGGGGAAGUAACAAGUGAGAAAUCAUUGCCAAUACCGCAUAUGCCAUAAGAACCACAUGGUUCUAGUGGGAAAGGAGUAAUCCGCUAAUAGAUGAGCUUGCGUCUGAUUAGCUAGUUGGUGUGGUAAUGGCGCACCAAGGCAACGAUCAGUAGCCGGACUGAGAGGUUGAACGGCCACAUUGGGACUGAGAUACGGCCCAGACUCCUACGGGAGGCAGCAGUCGGGAAUAUUGCGCAAUGGAGGAAACUCUGACGCAGUGACGCCGCGUAUAGGAAGAAGGUUUUCGGAUUGUAAACUAUUGUCGUUAGGGAAGAUAAAAGACAGUACCUAAGGAGGAAGCACCGGCUAACUACGUG